CCUACUUAUUCGUGCAGAAUUUAAUUAGGAAAGUUGCCAAUAGCCUAAUAAAUAUUAAACUAUAUAUGGAGACACUUAAUAUUAACUUCCAUUUUAUAAAUCACAUAAAGAGUUAAAUGAGUAAUAGAUAUUAUAAAGCAUUAAAGCUCGGUGAAUUUUUUUUGGAUGAAGAGUUUAUUUGCUGAAAAAUGCAGUUUCAGGAGACCCACAACUAUUUGUGAAUUUCACAUGAAUUUGCCAAAUAGUUUUGUCUGGGCUUUUUUCUUGGGAUUUAUAUGCCAUUCACAAGAUAGAGGUAUGAGGGAGGAGGAAUUGGUGGUGGUCUCAUAACUUUUAGCCCAGUGGUUAGGGCACACACCUGGUAUAAGGGACCCAGCUUCAGUUACCCCCUCUGCCUGGUGUGGAGAAGGGAUUUGAAUUUGGGUCUCCCAUAUAGCAAGAGAGCACCUUAGCCGCAGGGCUAGGGGCUAUUCAGAUGUCGAUCUCUCCUGUUGCUAUUCCACUUUUUUUUAUAAAUAGAAACUGGAGCAGGGAUUUUAAACUUGUGAUUUCAAUGUCUAUGAAUUGACACUAUGAAUGACAGUAAUCAUUGGGCCAGGAAAAGAGAGUAAAAUUAACUCUGUAGCCUACUAGUUAAGGUGCUCAUCACCACUUCUGUCCGUUAAAUUUUUUGCAGUUUUUGGAUGUGGUUUGAUCCCAACAGAAUUUUUGGGGGGCGUAUUUCAGAACUGCUGGUAAACUGAAAAAUCAUUGUUCACACAGCUCUAAUAAGCAUGGGGGACAUAUGAGUAAUAUGUUAUGGAUGGUUAUAAGCAACCUGUUGGACUGUGUAAUUAUAACAAUUAACUAUGUAUUAAAACAUCUAUUAAUGUAUUCAUCCUUUAUAAACUAUAAAUAGAAUCCCUAUUUCUAAAUGUAAUACCUAGCUCUUUAUAUAGCCCUUUUCAUCAGUAGAUUUCAAAGCACUUUACAAAGGAGGUCUGUAUCAUUAUCCCUGUUUUACGUUUGGGGAAAGUGAGGCACUAAGGUGAUAUAACUUGCCCAAGAUCACCAAGCAUGCCAGUGGCAGAGCCAGGAAUAGAAUCCAGCUCUUCUGAGUUCAACCACACAAAGCCUCCAUCAAAGACAAUAGGGCUCAAUGGUCUGCCUGUAUGGAGUCAGCUGCAGGAUUGGGGCCUUUGUGUUUCUAUAAUGUACUGUUUCUCAAUGUUGGAGUUAGCUAAAAGGACACUGUUGGUCAGUUUUGGCCCCAAAUGUAGGCUUUUGAAAAAUCAAACUUUUACAAAUCUAGAGACUAAUAGAAUGUUUUCUUAAAAAUCCAAUGAAAAUCUUAAUUAAAACAAACAAAAAAAAAAGCUGUUCUGGUUUGCAAUCCAAAUAUGGUAGCUUUGUGCCUCACAGAGACAGAAGGUGAAAUUGCCUUUAAACUGUUCAGUCUGAUUUAACAACCCCUGAGAAGAGCAAUGAAAAACAAAGCAUAAAUAGUGUAUAAUAAACUUGGUUUUUAACAUUCAUGCUGUUUUCCAGAAAUCUAAAGUAUUGAGUAAUAUGGGGUCAGGAUGUUUAUUACAAAGGGGUUUUUCAUAUAUUGUCCCUUUUUAAAUAGCUAUAGAAAAAAAUUAUCAUAUGGACAGUGGGUUUGCCAUAGUUUGUUUCCCUAGCACUGACAUUGUACACAAUUAGCAAUAUAAUCAAUACU